GAUGAAGAACGUAGCGAAAUGCGAUAAGUAAUGUGAAUUGCAGAGUUUUGUGAAUCAUCGAAUCUUUGAACGCACAUUGCGCCCCUCGGUAUUCCGACGGGCAUGCCUGUCCGAGCGUCGUUUGCAACCCAUCGAGUAACACUUCUCGGUCUUGGGCGCCGUCCGCCCCCUCGGGGGAUCGGACGGGCCCCAAAGCCCUCGGCGGCCCCGGGUGCCCCGCCGGAGCGUCUUCGAAAGCAAUCGCUCCGGCGCGUCGCGCCCCGGGACCACGCCGGCACCGCGGCCCCCCCCCCAAAGGGGUCGCACCCCCAACACCAAACGUCUGACCUCGGAUCAGGUAGGGCUACCCGCUGAACUUAAGCAUAUCAAUAAGCGGAGGA
rnacentral:misc_RNA from 1 species